UGGGGAAUAUUGGGCAAUGGGCGAAAGCCUGACCCAGCAACGCCGCGUGAGGGAAGAAGGUUUUCGGAUUGUAAACCUCUGUCCUAAGGGAAGAAGGAAGUGACGGUACCUUAGGAGGAAGCCCCGGCUAACUACGUGCCAGCAGCCGCGGUAAUACGUAGGGGGCGAGCGUUGUCCGGAAUGACUGGGCGUAAAGGGCGUGUAGGCGGCCUGUUAAGUUAGAAGUGAAAGUCCUGCUUUCAAGGUGGGAAUUGCUUUUAAUACUGAUGGGCUUGAGUGCAGAAGAGGUAAGUGGAAUUCCCAGUGUAGCGGUGAAAUGCGUAGAGAUUGGGAGGAACACCAGUGGCGAAGGCGACUUACUGGGCUGUAACUGACGCUGAGGCGCGAAAGCGUGGGGAGCGAACAGG
rnacentral:rRNA from 1 species